rnacentral:rRNA from 1 species
AUGAACGCUAGCGGGAGGCUUAAUACAUGCAAGUCGUACGGUAACAGGUGUAGCAAUACAUGCUGACGAGUGGCGCACGGGUGAGUAACACGUACGCAAUCUGCCUCUGACUGGGGGAUAGCCCUGGGAAACUAGGAUUAAUACCCCAUAAUAUUGUGUUCCGGCAUCGGAAUGCUCUUAAACCUCCGGGGGUCAGAGAUGAGCGUGCGUCUGAUUAGGUAGUUGGUAGGGUAACGGCCUACCAAGCCAACGAUCAGUAGCUGGCGUGAGAGCGCGACCAGCCACACGGGCACUGAGACACGGGCCCGACUCCUACGGGAGGCAGCAGUAGGGAAUAUUGGACAAUGGCUGAAAAGCUGAUCCAGCCAUCCCGCGUGCAGGUAGAAGGCGCUAUGCGUUGUAAACUGCUUUUCUCUGGGAAGAAACGUCUGAAUUCAUUCGGACCUGACGGUACCAGAGGAAUAAGCACCGGCUAACUCCGU